rnacentral:lncRNA from 1 species
UUUUUUUUUUUUUUUUUUUUUUACACAACACAAUGGUGACAUUCAGCACAAUGGUGGACCCUCAACGGUUUGAUGAUAUUACAAGUAGUACAUACAUUCUGUUAUAUAAGAGUAAAAAAAAAAAAAAAAAAAAAAAGUAAAAUAUGUACAUAUGUAUAUAGAAAUAUAUAUUUACUCAUGUGUAUAUACAAACAUAGGCAUUUUACCCUAGGAUUAGGUGUAUGCAUAAUAUUAUUUACAUACUCUACAUCUAAUGUUCUAAUACGCUCAAUAGACACUUUAGGAUAUAAUAAAGCCUUACACUUUUCUAAAUUUAUUAAAAUGUUAUCAUACUCUUCAAUCAUACUUUCGUUUUCCAUAUUUCUAUUAAAAUUAUUACUAGGGCUCAGAAUUAGUACAACCAAAAGAAUCAGCAUGUACAUUUACAUGUAGUGAAAGUCUUUUUUUAUUAUUAUAAGACCCAGGAUCUUUAAAAUAUAAAGAACACCACAAAACUAAGUACAAUAACCAUAGUGUUAUCCAUAUAAUAGCUUCGGUUUUGUAUUUAUUUAUUAUAGUAAACGAUUUGGUAAUAUUAAAAUAAAUAAGUAAAUUUAAAUAUGCA